rnacentral:rRNA from 1 species
CAGUAAGGAAUCUUCCGCAAUGGGCGAAAGCCUGACGGAGCAACACCGCGUGGUCGAUGAAGCCCUUUGGGGCGUAAAGACCUUUUCUGAGAGAAGAAUUAUGACGGUAUCUUAGGAAUAAGCACCGGCUAACUCUGUGCCAGCAGCCGCGGUAAUACAGAGGGUGCAAGCGUUAUCCGGAAUCAUUGGGCGUAAAGGGUUUGUAGGUGGUUUGUUAAGUUGGGUGUUAAAUUUUGCAGCUCAACUGCAAAAUUGUGCUCAAAACUAGCAGACUAGAGUAUUGCAGAGGUACGUGGAAUUCUGUGUGUAGGGGUAAAAUCCGUAGAUACACAGAGGAACACCAAAAGCGAAAGCAGCGUACUGGGCAAUUACUGACACUCAAAAACGAAAGCGUGGGGAGCAAACGGGAUUAGA